CUAGACUGCAUUACAAACAGACGAUACCAUCGCUUCAGCAGCGUCUUUCCAGACAAGAGGGUGUACAUCAGAAGAGGUCCUAGAACUAAAGGAGAAAUGGACACUCACUCUUCUCCCUAACCCAGAAGCUAUCUCCAACUGACAGCCACUUGGGAAUGAAAACUUAGUUUCACCAAGAUCCCCAACAGCAGUAGACAAGUGGGGCCCCAAGGAUGGCAUCUAGCCACUGGAACGAGACCACGCCCUCCGCUCACCAGGACCUGGGCUUCCAAGUGCAAAGCAUCUACCCUUUCCACGACAACUGGAACACGGCCUGCUUUGUCAUCCUGCUUCUGUUCACGUUCACCGUGGUGUCUCUAGUCGUGCUGGCUUUCCUCUACGAAGCACUCGACUGCUGUUGCUGCACCAAGAACAAAACCGUGAAGGACCUCAAGAGCGAGCCCAACCCUCUCAGGAGCAUGAUGGACCACAUCAGGAAGCGUGACAGCGAGGUGGUCUAGCCCUGCUCAGAAGAUAACAAAAGCUUCCUGAAGGCGACCCUUACGACGACACUGAUGCUGACUCUGAGUGGCUCAAAGAUUUCCAGUAGAAACAUGUGACAUGAGCACUUGUGUGUGUGUGUGUCCUUCCUUCAAUACACAGUUCAUGACGGGAACCUACCAGUAACUUAAUACGGUAUCUCAAAAACUAGACAACUAUUCCCAGCACCCACUACUGGGAAUACUCAACAGCAGUAUUCCAGUUUCCAGGCAAACUACAAUACAAGCAGAGCUAAAUGCUGAAAAUAUACAGUAAAGUCUGCUAAGAGUCACACUCAGACAAGCCCCCUGGGAACAGAGACCAGCUGCGUUCCCUGGAAGAGGCGCAAACCAUCUGAGCCAUCUGGAAAGGACACUCCCUUACCAGCUGAGCUGCCUACUAGGUUCCCAGCUUUGAUGAUGCAGCUGUCUUCUGAGUCCUUUCUGCUUCUGUAAAUAACCCUAAUAAAACUCACUU